GGAAAGGUGUCCGAGUGGUUUAAGGAGGCGGUCUUGAAAACCGUUAACCGUGAACACGGUUCGGGGGUUCGAAUCCCUCCCUUUCCG
rnacentral:tRNA from 1 species